rnacentral:rRNA from 1 species
GAUGAACGCUGGCGGCGUGCUUAACACAUGCAAGUCGAACGGAAAGGCCCAAGCUUUCUUGGUUUCUCGAUUGGCGAACGGGGGUGUAACACGUGGGUGAUCUGCCCUUCACUUCGGGGGAAGCCUUGGAAACUGGGUCUAAUACCGGAUAUGACCACUUUUUGGAUGUUGUUCUGGAGAGUUUUGCGGUGUGGGAUGUGCUUGCGGCCUUUCAGCUUGUUGGUGGGGUAGUGGCCUACCCAGGCGUCGACGGGUAGCCGGCCGGAGAGGGUGUAUGGACGCAUUAGGCCUGUGAGGCGGCCCACAGUACGGAGGGAGGCAGAAGUGGGGAAUAUCGGACGGUGCGCGGAAGCCUGAUGGAGGGAGGCCGCGGGGGGGAUGAAGGCCGUUGGGAUGGAAACACCUAUCGCUAGGGAAGAAGGGUUUUUGUGACGGUACCUGGAGAAGAAGCACCGGCUAACUACGUG